rnacentral:lncRNA from 1 species
CGGCUCAUGAUCAGAAUCUGAAUCUUUUUUUUUUUUUUAUACAUAUUUAGUUGAUUUCUUUAUACAAACACAAAGUUUAAACUAAUUAGGAUAUUGAGUUCAUCAAAUAUGUGAGUAACCUUCUAGCCUGCCACUGCCUUCGCCCUUUAUUUUUGUCGAUUGAGGAAGCAAAUUUACAAUCAUCUUGAUAUAUAUAUUUACAAGAAAAUACAGGUUAAUGCAGGCAAAGAGACGUAGCCAGCCAAAGCAAGAAUCAUCAAAAAAGAGUCUUUAAUUUAUUUAUUUUUUAUUGUACAUAUGAAGAAAAUGGAGGCGGAGGAGAAAUCCUGACAAAUCUAUCCAUUUGCACAAGUUUUUAAUGAGGUCAAAAUCAAAUGAAUGUCCUUCGUGAAGACAUGGGUAUAAAUUGAUUCAGCAAAACCAAAGCCUUAAGCCCUUGGGAACAAUGGCUAUUUUCCCGGUAACAACUGCAAUCUCCAAACCACUCAGAAAACUUUUCUUGCAAAUAUGGGAACGCAACAGAGAAUAAGAAGGUUAUUAAUAACAAGGAGAGAUCACCAAGGGUAUGGCGAGAUAGAUAAGAUUCGCUAAUCUUGAUAUCAAGUCUCGAUUUUCACUUUCUAGAAUUGAAGAAACUCUUUGUGUAUAGGGCUUGUGUCCCUUUUAAUGAACACAAGGCAUAAAUUUAAAUUAAUCAGGCUAGAAUUAAAUGAAUGCUGAACAUCGAAUAAAGAGAGAGAGAGAGAUCAGGAGGGUGUCGAUUGAGGAUGGGAAUUUCAAAUCUAUCAUUGACAUAUAUUUAUAUAAUACAAAUAGGAAGAUAAAGCGUUAGUGGACCAAAUCGACAGGACCUCCUUUGCUCAAGCAAAUAAGUACAUGAAAAGAGAAGUAGCUAGCUUGCAAACUAAAACACAAAGGGUGUCCCCUAACUCAAAAGCAAGAAGAUGAAAAGUGGUCCUCAUGAGUUAGCCCGAGUAGUUGGAGGAGUCCCAGGACUAGACAAGGAACCCCAUACUUCUCCAAAUACCCUUUUCGUUAUAUUCCCCCUUUUAGGUGGUACCCUUCCUUUGCCGCCAUUAUUAUUGCUGCCUUGUCCAUGGCCACCACCAGAUUCUUGAUCUUGUCCACUACCUUCAUUAGAAAUGCCUGUAGCUCUCUCGCCGCGCCGACCUGAUUCGCUCAUGUUUAAUAGCUGAGUUUCACCCUCUCAACGCUACUUUUCUUUCAGGAGUUGGUACGUAGUUUAUAUAGAUUUUUUUCAAAAAGAAAAUUAAAUGAGUAGUCCAGUCAUGAAGGAAAGGCAAUAGACAAGAACUGGUCCCAUGAAAGAGCAUGCGCAUUUGUACACUUGCAUUUUGU